UCAAGCGAACCCCAAAGCGUAAAAUGGCAAAAGAAGUGCUGUGGAGCCAUUAUUAGUGAGAGCGCUGAGUCGGUUUCAGUAAACUUGCAGCGUGCUCUCGCUGAAAUUGUGCAAGCAUGCCGUUACUCUCUGACACAUCGGCUGUUGAGUAGUGAUUCGGUUCGGAGCGCUACGGCUGAGCGAAAAUCUACUGACAUCGUAGCAUGCGAAGCAGUGAGUAUCAACAAGUGAAACCGUAACUAUAAGUACGAAUCAGUCAGAUAUAUACAGCCAAAAGCAUAUACUACGGUAACAUGCGUACAUAUGUAUGUACCUAUGAUACGGCAGUAGUAUAAAGCUUUUAUACUUCCGAUGAGUGACUACAGUUGAAUCAGGCUAAAAAGCUUUGAAUUUGGCAAAUGAGGAGAGAAGCAACAAAGCCAGUCGAAGUCCAUCUCGCGCGUAUGAGCAAAUGGAGAAACCCGUAUUGCUGUCUGAGGAGAAGCAAGCUUUUAAGCUGUUAGAUCGAUUCGUCAAUAACUUUUCUAGCAAGGAAUCCCGCAAGUUGAAAAACAGCCGUUUCGAGAAAAACGCAUUUGAAAAAAAGUGCGCUUCGGCACUGAAUCGACCGGUGUUUACCUUAGUGCUCAUAUCAUCGGAACUAAUUGGAAUUUCGUUUUGAAACUUAAGCAACAUAUUCUUCAAUAGUUGUACCAACAAGUUAUGCAGUCAAAAAAUAGAUUUUUGUGAAUCAUCUAAACUGGUUUCCCCCCUUAAUGUUCCGGGCGUUUUGUUGGGCGACUCUGCGUUUAAGCUUGAUGAACAUUUGAUGCAUCUGUACCCAUUUUGCAUAAACCAACCUUUGAAUAAAAAAUCAAGAAUGCUUUCGGUCAUAUAAAAGCAAGGCUAAGACAAAUGCUUGGUUAAUCACAUGGUCAACACGAAAGUAUUCAUAAAAGCGUGCUGCGUUUUGCACAACUAUUUGAAUGAAUAUUAUGAUGAAAUUAAUGAAAGGUGGAUGGCAGUAUAAAAAAUCGAAAACCAAACUCGGCAGUUACCAGAAAGUGUCCCUAACAUUUCCAGAAAUGUCAACCCAAGGGCAGCGGCAAUAUGACAAGCUUUCGUUUCAGAUUUCGUUUGUAUGAUACGAUCUCUGAUGAGAUACGUUCGAUAUACGUUCUCUGAUCAUAUAUGAUAUACGUUCUCUGUAUACGUUCUCUGGUUUCAAUCUUUCUAGCGGUUACAACAACCAUAUUCCUUGCGACAUCUAGCCAGUUUUUAAGCUAUGCGUAUCUUUGCUUCACUGUUUUCGGUGACCACCAUGAGAUGGCGCAAGCAACUGAAUGUAUAAUAAAUUUUGCUAUAAUCGAUAUUUCAAAAAGUAUAAAAAUCGUUGUAUCUGAUAUUGGAGUUAAAUUUAGAUUUUUUAGGUAAGUGAACUUUUAGUAACACUCAAUCUGUUUGACUCGUUGGAAAGUUUUUCAGGUGCGUAUUCACUUCGAGAAGAUAAUGGAAAAAAAAUCGAGUGAGAAAAGCGACCUUACUUUGUGUCCACAUUGAGGAGGAUUAAGUGUAGAAGCAGAGGCGACAAAAAUAUAUAAUAUGCAGAAGAACCAUAUCGAAAGAGGAUAGAGCACGAUACUAGUACGCUAUUAAGCUAGUUAUGAAAGCGAAGCUUUACUGUAUGAAUCCCAAUUUCUAGCCCGAUGGGAAGUAAACUAGAAUGGAAAGCGAGGAAAAGCAAUGAAGUGGAUUCAAAGAGGCUUAGUAAAGCUCCGGGGUUAAUAGUUGUGACACAAAUUCGUGGACCAGUAACCUAAUCCCAUAAGCUACCUUAACUUGUUUCUGGGAAGAAUGAUUAGAUUCCUGAACCGUUUUGCAUCGAAUUCUUCCAGAAACAGCCUCACCUGUUGAAGCCCGGACACUUGCUGCCAGUGACGAUUUCUACCGACCCUUUCGUUUUUCUGUAGCUCCUCGGCUAGCUCAUUUUAAUUGAUGUCUCCAACCCUAGGAGGAUUCAUGCUAGUAAAAUGUUAAGAAUGAUUCAUUCCCCGUGAUAGUUUUUCUCUAGAAUAAUCUCUAUACAUCUGCUAAUGGAUUAGAUAAGAUUUCUUUUUUUAACAAGCGCAUGACCAUUCUAAAUCUAUGUAUAUAUCUACAAAAGGUUGUAGCACAGUAUUCGUAUUAAUAAAAUAUGUAUACGAUUGCUUAAUAUCGCUCAGUAUAACGGCACUAAGCAUGAAUUCAAAACAAAUUCUAGAUUGUCGAUCACCCCAUCAUCAUCAAGACCAAAAAUAAAAUAUAAAGCCAA